rnacentral:lncRNA from 1 species
UGUGGAGGACAUGGGAAAGGUAUAAGAUCAUUCGCUGUUAAGCAUCAAAAUGAGAAUAAAAAUAAUCACCAUUACAAGUGAUUCUAUAAUAACACAAGACACAGACAGCAAGAUUUAACCAAAACUUUCUUUCACUGACAAAGCAAAUUAGUCGAAGCCCAACAGCAAAAUUUAAUGGCUCAACAAGUGUUCAAAGAGCCACAAGACCAAAGCAUCAAAAUUCCAUAUCAACACAGAGUAACUAAUAACAUAUUAACCAAAACUUUCUUUCACUGACAAAGCAAAUUAGUCGAAGCCCAAUAGCAAAAUUUAAUGGCUCAACAAGUGUUCAAAGAGCCACAAGACCAAAGCAUCAAAAUUCCAUAUCAACACAGAGUAACUAAUAACAUAUAUCACUAUUCUAAGCAAGUACGAAGAAAUAAGGAUUCAUGAGAUUACCUCACCGCACAUGCAUCAUAUAAUUUAAGAAUACAUGGUGAGUAAACGAAACUUGAAUUACACCCUAUACUAUGCCUUUGCUCGGUUAAAGUUGA